CACCUCUUCCCAUUCCGAACAGAGAAGUUAAGCCUUGUCACGCCGAUGGUACUGCGUCACAGUGGGAGAGUAGGUAGCCGCCGUUU
rnacentral:rRNA from 1 species